AUUGAACGCUGGCGGCAGGCUUAACACAUGCAAGUCGAGCGGAGUGAUGGUGCUUGCACUAUCACUUAGCGGCGGACGGGUGAGUAAUGCUUAGGAAUCUGCCAUUUAGUGGGGGACAACAUUCCGAAAGGAAUGCUAAUACCGCAUACGUCCUACGGGAGAAAGCAGGGGAUCUUCGGACCUUGCGCUAAAUGAUGAGCCUAAGUCGGAUUAACUAGUUGGUGGGGUAAAGGCCUACCAAGGCGACGAUCUGUAGCGGGUCUGUGAGGAUGAUCCGCCACACUGGGACUGAGACACGGCCCAGACUCCUACGGGAGGCAGCAGUGGAGAAUAUUGGACAAUGGGCGGAAGCCUGAUCCAGCCAUGCCGCGUGUGUGAAGAAGGCCUUUUGGUUGUAAAGCACUUUAAGCGAGGAGGAGGCUACUAGUACUAAUACUACUGGAUAGUGGACGUUACUCGCAGAAUAAGCACCGGCUAACUCUGUGCCAGCCGCCGCCGUAAUAC
rnacentral:rRNA from 1 species